UGGUUCUGGCAUCGAUGAAGAACGCAGCGAAAUGCGAUAAGUAAUGUGAAUUGCAGAAUUCAGUGAAUCAUCGAAUCUUUGAACGCACAUUGCGCCCGCCAGCAUUCUGGCGGGCAUGCCUGUUCGAGCGUCAUUUCAACCCUCGAGCCCGACUCUUCGGAGGACGGCUCGGCGUUGGGGGACGGCAGACUCCCCCCGGCAUCUCGCCGGGGACGCCGCCCCCGAAAUUUAGUGGCGGCCCUCCGAGGCGACCUCUGCGUAGUAACUUGUUCUCGCACCGGAAAGCUCAGAGCGGCCACGCCGUAAAACCCCAACUUUUUUUAGGUUGACCUCGAAUCAGGUAGGACUACCCGCUGA
rnacentral:misc_RNA from 1 species